ACAGCAGUAGCCCCGGGAAUACGUAGGUGGCGAGCGUUGUCCGGAAUUAUUGGGCGUAAAGGGCUCGCAGGCGGUUUCUUAAGUCUGAUGUGAAAGCCCCCGGCUCAACCGGGGAGGGUCAUUGGAAACUGGGAAACUUGAGUGCAGAAGAGGAGAGUGGAAUUCCACGUGUAGCGGUGAAAUGCGUAGAGAUGUGGAGGAACACCAGUGGCGAAGGCGACUCUCUGGUCUGUAACUGACGCUGAGGAGCGAAAGCGUGGGGAGCGAACAGGAUUAGAUACCCCAGUAGUCCCUGUCUCUUAUAC
rnacentral:rRNA from 1 species